rnacentral:lncRNA from 1 species
UGAGGCAUUUUGAAUCCACUCGGAACUGGUUCCCUCAAAAUGAUUUGGGAGAAAGGUGGUUGGGAGUUGAAAUUGAUGCCAUCGCUACCCUAGGUGAGCCCCAUUCUAGAUCUCAUCGAGGUGAUGCUCGAUAUCUUAGACUUUAUUCUCGAGCUCCUCCUCCCAGUGUGACUUCCUGGAUCUAGGAGAGUAGCCCAAAGUAGAAUACCUAUCGGAGGAGAAGCUCCACAGCCAGGUCUCCUCCCUUAGGCUCCAAUGGGAGGAGGUCCGAGAUGCGGGAGCAGGGAUAGAAUGGGAGUACUGUCGAGGGGC